GUGUUCGAACUAUUCCAAACAAUUCACGGUUUCAAUCGAAAACCAACGAAACCUUCGGAAGACAUGGGGUCUCCUACUACAGGAACUCGAUAUCCUGUGGGGACGCUCGGCGAAGGAAUACCAUCAUUCUCUACGACAUCAGGACAACUGGUUCCAAAGGGCGGAACCGAUCGAAAUUAGCAACUUGGUCUCGAUCCUGGACCUAAGAAGCCGCAACGGCUGGGUACGAGGACAUGUGGAGAUAGGCUUUGGAUACCAUGGCCAAGCCUGUACAGCAGUGGUGGACACUACGAAUGGUGUUGAAGCGAGUUCAUAACCUUGCUCGAUCGGAUGUGAGUAGCGGAGAACAGUGCAGUCUCAGAGACCGCUGAGAUGCACCCGGGGGAGGAUGUCGGCGCGACUAGCAACCCUGCUGUCACCGGUUGAAAAAUUACGAAUCACCCUGUGCUGCUGCCGAUGCAAAACCGUUUUUUCACUCGGCUCACUCUUGUUUCUACCGCCAAAUAUAUCAGUGCCGUUUCUUAGCUAGAUUAGCAAUUAGUUUUACCUAGUUGAAGUCCCGUGAAAGUUUAAUCCGCGUUUUUGUAGUUUGUGACAUCUUAUCGCCAAGAUAUUUACAGGAAAAUCGAUUUUCGCCAGGACUCCAUUCGAAAUCGACGCACAUUUCACCUAGUUCUACUGAAAAGGAACCGAAACUCCCGAUCUCCUUUCCCGAGGCUAAUAUUCGUGCGGCCACCAGGCAAACCGAUCAAUAAUCCGGGAAGCGAAGCGCAGGCUUAGUUAGGCUUUUCACACUAAAAUUUUUGAAGCUGAUUAUUUUUAAUAAACACCAUCUGCUAUCAAACAUUAGUGGUUUGGUCUGCGUUUACUUC